rnacentral:tRNA from 1 species
UGGCCCGUGGUGUAAUUGGCAACACUACUGAUUUUGGUUCAGUCAUUUCAGGUUCGAGUCCUGGCGGGCCAGCCG